UACGUAGGGGGCUAGCGUUGUCCGGAUUUAUUGGGCGUAAAGAGCGUGUAGGCGGCCAGGUAGGUCUGGUGUUAAAACUCGAGGCUUAACCUCGAGAUGUCAUCGGAAACCAUCUGGCUAGAGUCCGGAAGAGGAGAGUGGAAUUCCUGGUGUAGCGGUGAAAUGCGCAGAUAUCAGGAAGAACACCAAUGGCGAAAGCAGCGCUCUGGGACGGUACCGACGCUGAGACGCGAAAGCGUGGGGAGCGAACAGG
rnacentral:rRNA from 1 species